UACAGAGGUCUCAAGCGUUGUUCGGAUUCAUUGGGCGUAAAGGGUGCGUAGGUGGCGCGGUAAGUCGGGUGUGAAAUCUCGGAGCUUAACUCCGAAAUUGCAUUCGAUACUGCCGUGCUCGAGGACUGGAGAGGAGACUGGAAUUCAUGGUGUAGCAGUGAAAUGCGUAGAGAUCAGGAGGAACACCGGUGGCGAAGGCGGGAUCCUGGGCCAGUACUGACGCUGAGGAGCGAAAGCGUGGGGAGCAA
rnacentral:rRNA from 1 species